ACAUGUAUACAACAUAGAAUUAAUGCAAUGGAUCCCAUUAGAGAUUCAAAAUUAAGUGCACUCAGGCUAGAGUAGUACUGGGAUGGGUGAUCGAUCGAGAAUUCAUAAUGUUUUAAAUGCC
rfam:Picea glauca, whole genome shotgun sequence.